GGUUAAGCGACUAAGCGUACACGGUGGAUGCCCUGGCAGUCAGAGGCGAUGAAGGACGUGCUAAUCUGCGAUAAGCGUCGGUAAGGUGAUAUGAACCGUUAUAACCGGCGAUUUCCGAAUGGGGAAACCCAGUGUGAUUCGUCACACUAUCAUUAACUGAAUCCAUAGGUUAAUGAGGCGAACCGGGGGAACUGAAACAUCUAAGUACCCCGAGGAAAAGAAAUCAACCGAGAUUCCCCCAGUAGCGGCGAGCGAACGGGGAGGAGCCCAGAGCCUGAAUCAGUGUGUGUGUUAGUGGAAGCGUCUGGAAAGGCGCGCGAUACAGGGUGACAGCCCCGUACACAAAAAUGCACAUGCUGUGAGCUCGAUGAGUAGGGCGGGACACGUGGUAUCCUGUCUGAAUAUGGGGGGACCAUCCUCCAAGGCUAAAUACUCCUGACUGACCGAUAGUGAACCAGUACCGUGAGGGAAAGGCGAAAAGAACCCCGGCGAG
rnacentral:rRNA from 1 species